rnacentral:rRNA from 1 species
CAGCCGUAAACUAUGCGCGUUAGGUGUAUCGGUGACCACGAGUCACCGAGGUGCCGAAGGGAAACCGUGAAACGUGCCGCCUGGGAAGUACGGUCGCAAGGCUGAAACUUAAAGGAAUUGGCGGGGGAGCACAACAACGGGUGGAGCCUGCGGUUUAAUUGGACUCAACGCCGGACAACUCACCGGGGACGACAGCAAUAUGUAGGCCAGGCUGAAGACCUUGCCUGAAUCGCUGAGAGGAGGUGCAUGGCGUAGACGU